CCUACGGGGGGCAGCAGUGGGGAAUAUUGGACAAUGGGCGAAAGCCUGAUCCAGCCAUGCCGCGUGUGUGAAGAAGGCCUUCGGGUCGUAAAGCACUUUCAGUGGGGAAGAAAGCCUUGGGGCUAAUACCCUCGAGGAAGGACAUCACCCACAGAAGAAGCACCGGCUAACUCCGUGCCAGCAGCCGCGGUAAUACGGAGGGUGCGAGCGUUAAUCGGAAUUACUGGGCGUAAAGCGCGCGUAGGCGGUCUGAUAAGCCGGUUGUGAAAGCCCCGGGCUCAACCUGGGAACGGCAUCCGGAACUGUCAGGCUAGAGUGCAGGAGAGGAAGGUAGAAUUCCCGGUGUAGCGGUGAAAUGCGUAGAGAUCGGGAGGAAUACCAGUGGCGAAGGCGGCCUUCUGGACUGACACUGACGCUGAGGUGCGAAAGCGUGGGUAGCAAACAGGAUUAGAUACCCUUGUAGUC
rnacentral:rRNA from 1 species